AUACUUACCUGGCAGAGGAGAUGCCACAAUCAAGAAAGUGAUUUUCCCAAGGUGAGGCUUAUCUAUUGUACUUCGGAUGUGCUGACCCCUGCGACUUCCCCAAAUGUGGUAAACUCAACGGCCUAAUUUGUGGUAGUGGGAGACUGAACUCGUGCUCUCCCU
rnacentral:snRNA from 1 species